GGCGUCACCACUAUAUCGACAGGCACAACAUCGAAACAUCAUGCGACUCCAAACAUACAUUUAUUAUACUCAUCAUUUAGCUAAAUACGCACAAUAGCAUACGGACUUUGUACCUUCAUACAUAUUAUAAACAAUAGGCGCAUCUGUAUAAAAGACCGAAUAUUAUGAAUAAAUAAAUCAGAAUAUUUUCUGCUCUCAACGAGAACACAUCUUUCUCUUUAGCAGCAUUCUCACUUGUGGAACAGUGAAACAUCAUUAUGUUUCACUUAAAUCCCCACAACUGGUGACCCCGACGUUCACAGAGCAUUACCUCUGAACAGUCAAAUUACUAUGCUGGUACAAAUCUACCACCGAAAAACUUAAUUUUGUUAUUCGCUAGAUUCAUCUAGAAUCUAGAAUAGCCUAUGUUAAACUAACAUUGUUUAGCAUACAUACCGAAUGCUUCAUGUACCAUUCAGGCAUUCAAUCUCGGACAUUGCAACGAGCAACAUCUCCGACAUUCCAGUACACUACAGUGCACUCACAAAGUGAAACACUUUGUAGAUUUCUGCUGUACUGCUUCCAUGACUAGUCACGCCCGUCGCUUCACGACUAAUCAAGACCGCGCUUCAUAACUAAUCAAGCCAGUAGCUCUUCAACAAGUCGAGCCCGGCAAUUCAAGACUAGUCGCGCCCGUCACUCUCCGACCAGCCGCGCCCGUCAAUCCAAGACUAGUCGCGCCCGUCGCUCAAAUUAAUAAUUAACAUAGCACAAUUUCUAAUAUCGCAUUGAAGCGGUAAAUUUAGACAUUUUGUGUUCAAAAAUCUGAGUCUAUACCAUUAUUCUUUCAAUAGCAUAAGCUAUCAAUUAACACAGUUCAAGCACGUUUUCACAGUAAAGCUAAAUUUUCUAGCCUAACUCAACAAAAAACGUAUUUAAUGUGUCAACAAAUGAAAUCAGUAAGAAAUGGUAAAACAAGUACACGAUUCAGCUGACAUAAGCGAAUCUAUCGUACAAGCACGUACGUCAUUACACAAACUGUGGUAACGUUUACGACUCAAAUCAAAUCACGCCAACCGCGAUGCAACAUCUAUCGCGAAAAUUUUUUGUUCUCAACCUUACGCUUACUAUACUUCAGCACGUUUGGAUGAACGAAAAAUAAGUUUUACAGGUCGAAACUAAAAAUGUCUACCACUUCAUAGGUUUCGCUUUCGCUGUUCAACAAACUUUAUGUUACGAAAGUGUUUCAACCUGGUAACUGUUACUUCGGGAAAACCUAAGCAUAGUCUGGACCUAAGUUAACCAACUUUUACAUGUCAGUUAUCAUGAUCUAUAUGUCUGAAGGUUGCCUAGCAUCUACAUGUUGCUACAUCCUUGUAAUGUCUAUGGAUAUGAUCAGAAAUACAUCAGGCCAGCCGCUUGAAGUACUAUGGCACAACCGUGCACAGUAACGCGACAUUUUAUUAUCAUAAGGUGGAUUAAGUUCGCGAGCGUGUAACAACAAUCAAUCGAGACUCCCACCGAUGGUAGCGAUGCUAAUUCACGAACUUAGCUCAUGUUCUGUUCGUUAGUUCCGACCUUCUUAUAAAUCUUUUUAGCAUCUCAAAAUCUGAUGUACGAGUUAACAUUUGGAAAAAAUCUGUACAGUCCGUUUUUCCGUAAUUUCGUUUCUCAUCAGUAAUUUUACGAGCAUUGCAACAAACUGUAUCACAGUCGCUCGUCCUGCAAAGUUAAUUCAUUGCACAUAUGAAUUACGCCUAGAAAACUAUACAGUCAUUCUAAAAAGCUAAAGUACUAAGUACACUUUUUAUCGACAUUGCGUUUUCUAACUUUGCAGUAAUUGUGUAAAGGUUACAUUAACCUUAACAACAGACCAUUAACUAUUAUUUGAUAGUUGAAACAACACAAACAAAGAAUGAAUUUUCUUUUCAUUUUUAAAAUGCUUGUAUGCUUCACAUUGUCUCACGCAAAACCGUCGAGGUGAAACUCAAAUCAGUUUUUACUAGCAACCUAGUAAAACGCAAAGUGUUCUCUGGAAACUUUGGCAACCAUCCGAAGUAUUUUUAAUGCAGUUUUAACCGAUUUGAAAUACAACACGCUUUCAACUUCCGAUAAACGAAGUGAGUACAAACUUGAAAGCAUUAUGUCAUGAGACAACAUGACAAUCAAGGAUUUGCAUCGUCAUUCUUGUUCCAACACGACGAACAAUCAACAAAAACCAACUUAAUCACUAGCUAAACUGCACUUGACAUUCUGCAAUAUAAAAACAAACGCAGUUCAGCAUUCACUCAGCUCAACAUUAGCUCAGCUCAACUUCAACGCAGCUCAGCUCGCAAAAUAUUUCCUGAGUGACCACCAUCGUUUCCAUCAUCAUGGCAUGAAAAAUAACCACCACAAAGACUUGGUAAACGACAACACUUCGUCUCAAUGGGGAA